UCAUCAGGUGGGAAAAUCCUUAACCACUCCUUUUGAUGAUGAUUGGAGUUUGCAUGAUAUGUGAUUAGCAUCUUUGUGUUAUCAGGACUCCCAACACCCUAAUUACUCAGACUUCUGAA
ensembl:snoRNA U8 U8 small nucleolar RNA